rnacentral:lncRNA from 1 species
CCCCCCAAGGCUAUAGCCCACCCGUUUUUGUGGCCUUUUUCCGCUGGACGAACUUGGCGCCCCGGACUUCAGGCGGUUAUUUUUGGGCGCGGCCAUGCCCGCGGCCUAUUUUGGGCACACGGAGGCUGUUCGCAAAGUCUCGCGCCAUUCCGAGACCGGCGGACGAAGUCGGCCAGCCCCACCCCCCAAGGCUAUAGCCCACCCGUUUUUGUGGCCUUUUUCCGCUGGAUGAACUUGGCGCCCUGGACUUCGGGUGGUUAUUUUUGGGCGUGGCCGUGCCCGCGACCUACUUUUGGCACACGGAGGCCGCUCGCAAAGUCUCGCGCCAUUCCGAGUCCGGCGGACAAAGUCGGCCAGCCCCACCCCCAAGGCUAUAAUCCACCCGUUUUUGUGGCCUUUUUCCGCUGGACGAACUUGGCGCCCCGGACUUCGGGUUGUUAUUUUUGGGCGCGGCCGUUCCCGCGGCCUAUUUUUGGCACACGGAGGCCGCUCGCAAAGUGUCGCGCCAUUCCGAGUCCGGCGGACGAAGACGGCCAGCCCCACCCCCCAAGGAUAUAGCCCACCCGUUUUUGUGGCCUUUUUCCGCUGGACGAACUUGGCGCCCCGGACUUCGGGCGGUUAUUUUUGGUUGCGGCCGUGCCCGUGGCCUAUUUUUGGCACACGGAGGCCGCUCGCAAAGUCUCGCGCCAUUCCGAGUCCGGCGGACGAAGUCGGCCAGCCCCACCCCCCAAGGCUAUAGCCCGCCCGUUUUUGUGGCCUUUUUCCGCUGGACGAACUUGGCUCCCCGGACUUCGGGCUGUUAUUUUUUAGCGCGGCCAUGCCCGCGGCCUAUUUUUGGCACACGGAGGCCGCUCACAAAGUCUCGCACCAUUCCGAGUCCGGCGGACGAA